GUGCUACAUAGCAGCACAUAUAUUAAAACUGGAACAACACAAAGAAAAUUUAUGCAAUCCCUCCAUAAGGAUGAAAUGGAAAUUAACAGAGCAUUCCAUUUUUUUU
ensembl:snRNA U6 U6 spliceosomal RNA